rnacentral:rRNA from 1 species
UACGGAGGUGGCAAGCGUUGUUCGGAAUUACUGGGCGUAAAGGGCGCGUAGGCGGUCAGCACAAGUCAGUUGUGAAAUCUCCGAGCUUAACUCGGAAAGGUCAACUGAUACUGUGCGACUAGAGUGCAGAAGGGGCAACUGGAAUUCCUGGUGUAGCGGUGAAAUGCGCAGAUAUUGGGAGGAACACCAGCGGCGAAGGCGGCACUCUGGGCUGGUACUGACGCUGAGGAGCGAAAGCGUGGGUAGCGAGCAGG